GUACUGGCAUUGUUGGUUUCUCCCUUCUGACAACCAUGAUGUCUUUAUUUGGUGUUGUGGGGAAUCAAGACUGUUACUUUGAAAAAAUUAUAGUGUUUAAAGCAGGCUCACGCUUGAAUACAUUAGCAUGGAAUAAUGAAAUAGGACGUUUGAUUCUAUUUUGUUGGUUUCUAGGAUCGACCUAAUGAUUAAUAGGGAUAGUUGGGGGCAUUAGUAUUCAAUUGUCAGAGGUGAAAUUCUUGGAUUUAUUGAAGACUAACUACUGCGAAAGCAUUUGCCAAGGAUGUUUUCAUUAAUCAAGAACGAAAGUUAGGGGAUCGAAGACGAUCAGAUACCGUCGUAGUCUUAACCAUAAACUAUGCCGACUAGGGAUCGGAUGAUGUUAAUUUUUUAAUGACUCACUCGGCGCCUUAC
rnacentral:rRNA from 1 species